GUGGGGAAUUUUGGACAAUGGGCGCAAGCCUGAUCCAGCAAUGCCGCGUGUGUGAAGAAGGCCUUCGGGUUGUAAAGCACUUUUGUCCGGAAAGAAAUCUCCUGGGUUAAUACCUCGGGGGGAUGACUGUACCGGAAGAAUAAGCACCGGCUAACUACGUGCCAGCAGCCGCGGUAAUACGUAGGGUGCGAGCGUUAAUCGGAAUUACUGGGCGUAAAGCGUGCGCAGGCGGCUAUGCAAGACAGAUGUGAAAUCCCCGGGCUCAACCUGGGAACUGCAUUUGUGACUGCAUGGCUAGAGUGCGUCAGAGGGAGGUGGAAUUCCGCGUGUAGCAGUGAAAUGCGUAGAGAUGCGGAGGAACACCGAUGGCGAAGGCAGCCUCCUGGGAUGACACUGACGCUCAUGCACGAAAGCGUGGGGAGCAAACAGGAUUAGAAACCCCAGUAGUCC
rnacentral:rRNA from 1 species